UACGUAGGAUGCAAGCGUUGUCCGGAUUUACUGGGCGUAAAGGGCGCGUAGGCGGCCACUGCAAGUCAAUUGUGAAAUCUCCGGGCUUAACUCGGAAAGGUCAACUGAUACUGCAGGGCUAGAGUGCAGAAGGGGCAACUGGAAUUCUCGGUGUAGCGGUGAAAUGCGUAGAUAUCGAGAGGAACACCUGCGGCGAAGGCGGGUUGCUGGGCUGACACUGACGCUGAGUGUGCGAAAGCUAGGGGAGCGAACGGG
rnacentral:rRNA from 1 species